GAUGAACGCUGGCGGCGUGCUUAACACAUGCAAGUCGAACGAUGAAGCCCAGCUUGCUGGGUGGAUUAGUGGCGAACGGGUGAGUAACACGUGAGUAACCUGCCCUUGACUCUGGGAUAAGCCUGGGAAACUGGGUCUAAUACUGGAUAUGACUUCUCAUCGCAUGGUGGGGGGUGGAAAGAUUUAUUGGUCUUGGAUGGACUCGCGGCCUAUCAGCUUGUUGGUGAGGUAAUGGCUCACCAAGGCGACGACGGGUAGCCGGCCUGAGAGGGUGACCGGCCACACUGGGACUGAGACACGGACCAGACUCCUACGGGAGGCAGCAGUGGGGAAUAUUGCGCAAUGGGCGCAAGCCUGAUGCAGCGACGCCGCGUGAGGGAUGACGGCCUUCGGGGUGUAAACCUCUUUCAGUAGGGAAGAAGCGAGAGUGACGGUACCUGCAGAAGAAGCGCCGGCUAACUACGUG
rnacentral:rRNA from 1 species